rnacentral:rRNA from 1 species
AGAUUGAACGCUGGCGGCAGGCCUAACACAUGCAAGUCGAGCGGUAGAGAGGUGCUUGCAUCUCUUGAGAGCGGCGGACGGGUGAGUAAUGCCUAGGAAUCUGCCUAGUGGUGGGGGAUAACGUUCGGAAACGGACGCUAAUACCGCAUACGUCCUACGGGAGAAAGCGGGGGACCUUCGGGCCUCGCGCCAUUAGAUGAGCCUAGGUCGGAUUAGCUAGUUGGUGAGGUAAUGGCUCACCAAGGCGACGAUCCGUAACUGGUCUGAGAGGAUGAUCAGUCACACUGGAACUGAGACACGGUCCAGACUCCUACGGGAGGCAGCAGUGGGGAAUAUUGGACAAUGGGCGAAAGCCUGAUCCAGCCAUGCCGCGUGUGUGAAGAAGGUCUUCGGAUUGUAAAGCACUUUAAGCUGGAGGAAGGUUGUAACCGUAAUACGUUGCAACUUUGACGUUACCGACAGAAUAAGCACCGGCUAACUUCGCGCCAGCAGCCG